GAGUUUGAUCCUGGCUCAGAUUGAACGCUAGCGGGAUGCCUUACACAUGCAAGUCGAACGGCAGCACGGACUUCGGUCUGGUGGCGAGUGGCGAACGGGUGAGUAAUGUAUCGGAACGUGCCCAGUAGCGGGGGAUAACUACGCGAAAGCGUAGCUAAUACCGCAUACGCUCUACGGGGGAAAGCAGGGGAUCGUAAGACCUUGCACUAUUGGAGCGGCCGAUAUCGGAUUAGCUAGUUGGUGGGGUAACGGCUCACCAAGGCGACGAUCCGUAGCUGGUUUGAGAGGACGACCAGCCACACUGGGACUGAGACACGGCCCAGAUUCCUACGGGAGGCAGCAGUGGGGAAUUUUGGACAAUGGGGGAAACCCUGAUCCAGCCAUCCCGCGUGUGCGAUGAAGGCCCUCGGGUUGUAAAGCACUUUUGGCAGGAAAGAAACGUCAUGGGUUAAUACCCCGUGAAACUGACGGUACCUGCAGAAUAAGCACCGGCUAACUACGUGCCAGCAGCCGCGGUAAUACGUAGGGUGCAAGCGUUAAUCGGAAUUACUGGGCGUAAAGCGUGCGCAGGCGGUUCGGAAAGAAAGAUGUGAAAUCCCAGAGCUUAACUUUGGAACUGCAUUUUUAACUACCGGGCUAGAGUGUGUCAGAGGGAGGUGGAAUUCCGCGUGUAGCAGUGAAAUGCGUAGAUAUGCGGAGGAACACCGAUGGCGAAGGCAGCCUCCUGGGAUGACACUGACGCUCAUGCACGAAAGCGUGGGGAGCAAACAGGAUUAGAUACCCUGGUAGUCCACGC
rnacentral:rRNA from 1 species